rnacentral:tRNA from 1 species
GCCUAGGUGGCUCAGUCGGUUGAGCAUCUGACUUGGACUCAGGUCAUGAUCUUAAGGUUCAUGGGUUCAAGCCCCAUAUCAGGCU